ACUUAAAUAGCUCAAACUUAGAGCGUAAUAUUGAAGAUAUUAAGGUAAUUUUAAAUUUUUAAGUA
rnacentral:tRNA from 2 species